CCUUGCAAGUUAGAUGUUCUAAUCUUACCGAUCCAAGCUUAAGGAUGAUGUUGCAAGCCACACACGUGUCCGACCUCUAAGAGUCAUCCACACGAGCCCACAGAUCACGAUCAGAAGUCCUGAUCUAGAAAAUCAGCAUAGUAUACUAGUACUGUACUGAUCCUUCUUCGAUGGUCGAUCAGAUGCCUCUUUCUUCUUAAUUUGAACUCUUUCAAAGAUGAAAAGUAGGAGAAGGAGUUUUAGAUGUGAGACACUCUUAGAAAACUCACAGAUAGAGGAAGAAAAGAGGUGAACUCAGCAACCCUAAAAGAAGACCCUCUUCUUCUUCUCUUUGCUUAACCCAGACACAUAGUUUUGUGUCUAUUAUAUCUCCACACCCUAACACUUUUUCUCCUUGAUUUUCAUACACUCCAAAGGACUCUCAAUUCUCUAUAAUCCACAAAAAUCUCAAAAAAAAAUUCAUCUUAAAUAAAGAGAUAUAAAGAAUCCUUGUCUAGGACAAACACCUAGUCAA
rnacentral:lncRNA from 1 species